rnacentral:lncRNA from 1 species
AAUCUGCUGUGUAUAACCUUGAUUAACACAAUCAGCUCACCAUUGCAAAAGGGGAAAUCUCUUCCUUCGUAGAGAUUUCCCUCCACUUUUCUCAUCUUAGGCAGAGCUUUGCUAGCACAAUGUAACAGAAAGUUUUGACAUGGCUCACCUAUAUUUCAGCCCUUCCCUCGCUAAAGAAAUGUAGUGUCAAGGCCUCUGGGUAUUUCACUAAUUUAUUUUUGCUUUUUCAGCAAAUGCUGAAAAACAUCUUUCAAGUUUAAUAUAUACUUGAAAACAUGCAAGAAAGUGAAAUAUAUGAAAGUUGAACAACAAACAAACUUGAUAAGAGAAUCUCAGUCAUAAAGAGCAAAAAAUAUUGUAAAUGUCUUGAUUACAUCUUGCCUUCAGUAUAUAAUGAUCAGGAUUACAGUUUCCAUGUUACAGGCCAUCUUGGUCCUGCCUCUUUUUCCUACCCCUCAAGCAGUUGUUAAGGCAACCACCAAUUUCCAUAGAAGGACUCCUACUCAAAGGUCAAAUGUCCACAUCAAGGAUUUUCAGUGUCCUUGUCCUAGGAUUUAGGACUGUGUGUGACUCAAGAAAGUUCGUAAUUUUUUUCCUAAGCCAGGUCAUGAAGGUCCAAGU